CUAACUCACGUUAGUGCUAGGUUGCCAAGCCCUUGUGAGAGCCUCUUAACAAUUGCAUUUCUCCUCACCGUGUUUUCUUUGUCAUAGGACCCACCUGGCUGUCACGCUUCACAAGCUGGAAAACACACAUCUCCGUCUGGACGCUGGUUCUCUGUCAUCGGGUUGCUUCCUUAUCAUCUUAAGACUCCACCUGCCUGCCUCCCUGCCAGGUCCUUCACUCCAAGUAUAUUCUGGACCUUCUCCCUUGGACACCCCUUCCUGGCAUGACACUUUCACCUGCAACGCUGACUGUGUACCUCCACCCAAGCUGCUGCCCCUUUUCCCAUUCCCAGGAUCCGUCUAUGAAAUCUUGCACCUAGCCAUAGCACUCAGUCAGAGUUUCAUGUUCAUAGUUUGGCCUCAUAGUUCUCAGUUCAUAGCUUCCACAGUUCAUAGCAUUCAUAGUUUCCUGCUUUGUAAUUUAACUAAGCACUGUGUUCACGCCCGUUUUUCCUCCCUCUGUGUCUGCAUUUGAGUCCACACCCACAGUCUAGCCCUCUCGGCCGUAACAACAGCUCUCGAGCUCAUGGGGAGCACGCUGUCCUUGCUAGGAACGGAUGACGGCGGAUUCCUCUUCACUCAUGUCUUCCUCCGACAGUUGCCGGUGCGAGCUGGCCUCGCCAACUCCCCACUGCUAGCCAGGAAGGAUUACCGCUCACUUGCAGAAGAAGAUGGCAUUCUCCUUGCUACCAGAAGCUUUGUCAUCCAGGUGAUAGUUCGCAACUCACUGACGGCAUCUCCUGCGUCAUUACCGAUUCUCCCGGCGGCCUCCGACUCAUCGAUGGUGGCUGGGAUCGUGGCACCGCGGAAAGGGGCAGUGUUUUUACCAUCAUCAUGACAGCGCCAUGCCACCUUUGCAGUCUUAAGGCCCAGGGAAAGGAGCCUGCCAGCGUGCUGUAGCGGCCGCCACCGCUGGUGAUAAGGAACGGGUGCUCUUCACAGAGGACUCGCGCUCGGGCAGGCGUUUUCUGGUUGACUCCGGCUCCCAGAAAAACCUCGGGAAGUCUCGUGGUGUUUUGCUAACCUCCACAAUGCUAUAUUAUUUAAUCUUAAAAAAAAAAAGAUUUCCCGCAUACCACCGGAGAGCCUAAGAACCACUAGUGCUACGCAAACCACAGUUUGAGAAAGACUGACUUAAGUGAAUAAGUUACAUGAACACAGCUCCCUGUCUGUGAUGUGGUUUCUCUGACACAUGUAUAAAUCGAUUUAUGGUAAGUAAAGUUUAUUUAUAUAGCACCUUUCACAGACAUAUGUCACACAGUGCUUUACAAGGUAAAGACAUAAUACAGUCAUAAAAUACAUCAUAACAACUCUGGUCUAAUUAAAAGCUUUUUGAAAUAAAAAUGUCUUUAGCUGCUUUUUGAAGGUCUCCACUGAGUCCAAAUCCCGUAGAAAUGGGGGAAGUGCAUUCCACAGUCUGGGUGCAACAGCUUGGAAAGAUCGGUCCCCUCGGGUUUUAAAACGAGUGUGGGGGACCACUAAAAGGUUUUGGUUUGAUGACCUCAGGUUACAAGUGGAGGUAUGUGUACGAAUCAAUUCGGCAAUGUAGGGGGGGGGCUGUCUCUGGUAGAUUAGAGCAGUAAGAAGAUUCAGGGUAAACAUUACAAUUUACAAAAACUGUCAGUGUGAGAGAAGAAAAUGAUUUUAUCACAGCUCACCUCUGCUUCAAACCUUCAAAAACUUUAGUCAGAGUAUGACUGUGCAGUCAGUUUAUUUCUGGGCUUUUUAACCACAAGUCAGUGGUUGAUACAGAGAGAAGCACACAGCACCUCUUACUUGCUUCAUAUAGUUGAGAGCAGGACAGACAUCAGCUGCAGACACAGUUUAGUUCUAUCAACUUAAACAUUAAUCAUGUCAAUAAAACAACUUUAGUCACAUUUCAUUUAGCAAAAAGAACUGCAAAUAAGUCGUCUCUCAAAGACAUGUUUCCUUUUUCUAAAUCUUAUCACAACAAUAACACCCAAACACUGAGAGAAGGAGGAAGAAGAAGGAUUUUACUUGGCUUGAACUGAUCUCAGAGCUGGUCUGAUAUCAUUGAGCAGCAGGAUGGAGGAAACGUCUCUGCUGUGUCUGCUCUUUCUGAUCUCACUGCUGAGCUGCACCACAAACCAAGCUCGUCUGACUGUGUCCCAGCAGC